UGAAAAAAAUAAAAAACAAACUAAAAAGCCUAGUUUCCUAAUACAUUUUCCUUUAGACAAGGUUUUUCUAAACGCCGCUUCUUCCUCAUGUGACCAACAAACCUCCACAUCUAAAUUACGUUUCUCCUGCUAUGAUCUAACAAAUCUUUCCAUCUUCUCCUAAAUUCUCCUCCUUGAUUGAAUCUAACUCGUUCGGGGCGCAAUUGUGUUCUCUGAUACGCUGGCUUGUGCUUGUGAUAUUUUGUUUGUGGAUCUUCUCUGCUAGGGGCGGGCUUCUUUACUGUGUGAGUCACAUUUCUUUCUUCUUUUUCCAACUCCAUCUUCAAACUACUGAUUUCUUUGUCUUCUUUUUGUAUAUGAUGCUUGACCAACUUGCAAGGUUUACUCUGGUCCAUCAUCUUCCUGUUUUACUCCGAUCCAAGAAACAAGACUAUCUUGCAUUUCAUACUUGUAAUAUUUACUAGAUUUGAUGUACAUCUUGUAAAUGUAAAACAUCUAUGUUGUAUCCUUUCAUCCCCCCUUAUCCCUCCUUGAUGAUAUUCGUAGAUAUGGGCUCUGUAUCUUAUCACUAUUUAAUAUCCUUCUUCCCUUUGAUUCUAGGCUCGCAAAUCCUGUAUAUAUGCAAUUUUCAU